GAGAUGACCCAUAGUACCCCAUUCCUUGCUGCAAUGUAAUUAUAUUUACUUACAAGUGUGCUCCUGGUGGUCUUUAACUGAAGGGCACUGACUGGGUCACUGGUGAAGUUCCCCGCAGGAACUGAGUCAGACCCCAUCUCAGGGCCCUGCACAAGAUAGGUGCCUGCUCUAAGGCGUGGACCCUCGCCACAGCCCUGGCCCGUCUUGACGGGCGAGGGUUACUGUACUUGUCCCAACCGUACAGAUGAGAAAGCUGAGACUCAGGGCGAGCAACCCGGGUCCCAGCGGAGCGCCCGGCACACGCCGACACUUCAGCACCAGUCGCGGUGGCCACCACUGUGCGCGGAGAUGGCUGCGACGCGUGCGCAGAUCUCGAUCCCAAACUCCCUCCUGCCAGAAUCUGGACCCGAAUCCACCCAUUGCCCGUUUUCUGCUGCCGCUGGAGAGAAUCUCUGAGGUCCCCAGGAGAGCCUGCCUGCACGGAAGAGAUGCCUCCUCAGUAUGGCCGCCCCCGGAGAGGAGCGAUUAAGUGCAGACCUCCAUGUUGCUCUUGAGCCUGAGCGGCUUCAGGGAGCCAUGUUUGUUACUGGCGGGCGCCGACCUCACUGAGCAUGUGCAGCCCUGGCCGGGCGGCCUCAAAGUUCUGACAUCACAGGGCGGUUCCUGAAGUGGACGUAGUUGUAAGAGCUAGUUAUUUUAGACAAUGCCUCUGGGAUCAGGGACUCUAAUCUGGAAAUAGGUAGUAGGAGAGGUCGGUGAUGCAGUCUCUGGAUCAGAGACCUGAGCUAUAUGGGGUUAGAGAGGGGCCCUGGGCAGGCGAGUCUCUGGGGAGUGUGGUGAGAAUCCUUGUGUAAGAUGCUGGGAGGAGGUGGGGUCAGGGCUGGGGUCCGUGGGCCGACGGGUUGGGGGAUGGCCAGCGUCAGGGAUCAGUAGUAGAGAUUCUAUGUGCCCUGAUCGCCAGUGGAGGUUUUAAAUACAGAGUAUUCAUGAGUUUAGCAAUGUUAUUCGCCUCUCAUUAUUUAAAUAAUUUGAAAUUUUCCCCAAUAACUAGUGUCUUAGAAGUCAUGAAAAUUUCAGAAAAUGACAGGUCUCCUGAGUUCGUGAUGGGAGUUGGGCAGCAGUCGCAUACGAGCACCUGGAGAGUCCUUGCCAGUUCUUUGGGGAUGGGGAGCUCUUAAGACUGCCCUGAGACCGCCCUUUGACCUCAUUAUGGUCCUUUCUAGAUCAAAUGCUGUUUUCCAUGACUGUCUCUGUUCUUCCCAUACGCGAAUGGCAGGCAUCCAGAUCUCCAAGAAUAGAGGAUUAGGAGAGACUCCACCACCUAUGUCCUCACAGUUAAUUAUCGAUUUGUGUCAGUUGCCCAUUUUCUCACUUCCUGUUUGUGUGUCAAGGAGUAUUAAUAAAUCUUUGCCUAUUUAAAGAUA